rnacentral:piRNA from 1 species
UGAACUACAUUGUCAGGUAGCAACACAUGCA